CCUACGGGAGGCAGCAGUGGGGAAUCUUCCGCAAUGGGCGAAAGCCUGACGGAGCAACGCCGCGUGAUCGAAUGAAGGCCUUCGGGUUGUAAAGAUCUGUUGACAGGGACGAAUAAGCCAUGCGAAUAGUUUGGUGUAUGACGGUACCUGUUUAGAAAGCUCCGGCUAACUACGUGCCAGCAGCCGAGGUAAUACGUAGGGAGCAAGCGUUGUCCGGAUUUACUGGGAGUAAAGGGCGCGUAGGUGGGUGCUUAAGUCAGGUGUGAAAACUGUGGGCUCAACCUGGUGACUGAACUUGAAACUGGGUAUCUUGAGGGCAGGAGAGGAAAGUGGAAUUCCUAGUGUAGCGGUGAAAUGUGUAGAUAUUAGGAGGAACACCAGUGGCGAAGGCGACUUUCUGGACUGUACCUGACGCUGAGGCGCGAAAGCGUGGGUAGCGAACAGGAUUAGAUACCCCUGUAGUC
rnacentral:rRNA from 1 species